rnacentral:rRNA from 1 species
UACGUAGGGGGCAAGCGUUGUCCGGAUUUAUUGGGCGUAAAGAGCGUGUAGGCGGCCAGACAGGUCCGUUGUGAAAACUAGAGGCUUAACCUCUAGACGUCGAUGGAAACCGUCUGGCUAGAGUCCGGAAGAGGAGAAUGGAAUUCCUGGUGUAGCGGUGAAAUGCGCAGAUAUCAGGAAGAACACCCGUGGCUAAGGCGGUUCUCUAGUACGGUACUGACGCGUGAGACGCGAAAGCGUGGGGAGCGAACAGG